UGGCAAGCGUUGUUCGGAAUCACUGGGCAUAAAGCGCACGUAGGCGGCGGCGUAAGUUGGAUGUGAAAUCCCCCGGCCCAACCGGGGAACUGCGUCCAGUACUGCGUUGCUUGAGGAUCCAAGGGGUGCAUGGAAUUCCCGGUGGAGCGGUGAAAUGCGUUGAUAUCGGGAGGAACUCCGGCGGCGAAAGCGGUGCACUGGGGGAUUACUGACGCUGAGGUGCGAAAGCCAGGGGAGCAAACGGG
rnacentral:rRNA from 1 species